CCACACCAAACUUGCUCGCUGCUUGGCUUUGCGCCGGGCAGCUGAUUCUUGGUGCAGCCACUAGGCUGAGGAGCACACUCAACUCCCAACCAUUUCCGGCCUGCACCAUGUCUCGGAAGUCGGAAUAGAAGAGAAAGAAACUAUGCUGUUGACUUAAUUAUGUGAUUGCAUUGAUUGAAUAUAAGAAUGAUCUGCAUUGAUC